rnacentral:rRNA from 1 species
AUUGAACGCUGGCGGCAUGCCUUACACAUGCAAGUCGAACGGUAACAGGUCUUCGGAUGCUGACGAGUGGCGAACGGGUGCGUAAUACAUCGGAACGUGCCCGAUCGUGGGGGAUAACAAGGCGAAAGCUUUGCUAAUACCGCAUACGAUCUACGGAUGAAAGCGGGGGAUCUUCGGACCUCGCGCGGACGGAGCGGCCGAUGGCAGAUUAGGUAGUUGGUGGGAUAAAAGCUUACCAAGCCGACGAUCUGUAGCUGGUCUGAGAGGAUGAUCAGCCACACUGGGACUGAGACACGGCCCAGACUCCUACGGGAGGCAGCAGUGGGGAAUUUUGGACAAUGGGCGAAAGCCUGAUCCAGCCAUGCCGCGUGCAGGAUGAAGGCCUUCGGGUUGUAAACUGCUUUUGUACGGAACGAAAAGCCUCUUUCUAAUAAAGAGGGGUCAUGACGGUACCGUAAGAAUAAGCACCGGCUAACUACGUG